rnacentral:lncRNA from 1 species
AUGAGUGGCUUUUCCAUUUCCAGGAAUAGCCCUCCUUGGCGAGGACACAGAAAACUCAUUGGUGAACCCCUGCUGGUGUGUCCGAUGGCUGGGCAUCACCGACCAGGUGGCCCAUUAGCUUCUCCCUGGGUGUAUAUGGUCUCAAAGUCUUUAGAGGAAAAGAGAAAGAAAAGGAAGGAAGAAAAGAAAGCAAUGCUUGAAAGAAGAAAGUCACUGAGUUGGGCGGAAGUUUGAGUGGGAUCCCCCACCCCAGCUUGGAAUGGAACCUCUCACCCAGAGUAUAGUAACAGAGCCCCCCGUGUAGUCAUCGCUUGCUGUGUGGCAGCCACUGUGCUAACUGCUUCUUCUCGGACAACCUCUGACUUCCGAAAGGCAUUCUGUGGGAGAGGAUAUGGGAUCUGGACCUGGAAUCUCCGACUCCAAAACUCACGUGCUUAACCACGAGAGCAGGUGACUUGCUCAUGAGCACACACCAGAGGCUGAAAUGUAGGCAAUUGAGAGUAAAGUCUGGAAAGAAAGGAUGGGUAGAAUAGAUGUGAACAUAUUUAGGGGAAAUCUUUAAGGCGAAAUGCUUUCCAGUUAAUUCCAUGAAAUAGUUUCUCGGAUUUGGCAUUGAGAAGCUAUGGAUUCUUUUCUCAACUCUGUCCUGGAGAUGGAGGGGGUAGGCAGUGAAUGGGGGACCCAUCUCAGGACCUAGAAGGGGGAGUGGGCAGGUGAAAUGAGACAGGAGGAACACCAGCAAGGGAGCAUCACUCAGCACAUUACCACUGUGGGCAGCUGGGGCUCGGUUCUGGGAGACUCUAGAGCACACCUCAGGAUUUUCUCACUGAAAAGAAGGAAACCGGAGCAGUAAACCACCAAUUCCUGUCCCCCAUCAACUGAGGGCCACUUCUGGAACAUUAACUCUCAGCACCUCUGUUCUAUGAGUAGGUGCACACAGUUCCAUGGUGGAGACACCCCGAAAGCUGAUGGCACAUUCAGAAAUUGUUUCAAGUGACCUCUGGGCCAGGUCAAGGGGAUGCGGGUGGGGCCCUGACCCCUCUGCCUCCACUUGUCCCAGCUACAACGUGGUACAUGAAUAUAAUAUUGGAGAAGUCCAAUAAAGCGCAAUGUGUACUCA